rnacentral:rRNA from 1 species
CCUAACACAUGCAAGUCAAACGGGUGGUAACACCAGUGGCGCACGGGUGAGUAAUGCAUGGGUUCAUCUGCCUCGUAGAGGGGGAUAACUACGCGAAAGUGUAGCUAAUACCGCAUACGCAGGGAACUGCAAAGGAGGGGAUCGUAAGACCUUCCGCUACGAGAUGAGCUCAUGUCCCAUUAGCUAGUUGGCGGGGUAACAGCCCACCAAGGCGAAGAUGGGUAGCUGGUCUGAGAGGACGAUCAGCCACACUGGAACUGAGACACGGUCCAGACUCCUACGGGAGGCAGCAGUGGGGAAUAUUGCGCAAUGGGCGAAAGCCUGACGCAGCAACGCCGCGUGAGUGAUGAAGGCCUUCGGGUUGUAAAGCUCUUUCGGUUGGGAAGAAGGGUGUGCGCCCUAAUAAUGCGUACAUUUGAUGGUACCAAAAGAAGAAGCACCGGCUAACUUCGUGCCAGCAGCCGCGGUAAUACGAAGGGUGCAAGCGUUGUUCGGAAUGACUGGGCGUAAAGGGUUCGUAGGCGGGAGAGCAAGUUAAGUGUGAAAUCCCCGGGCUUAACCCGGGACGUGCACUUAAAACUGCUUUUCUUGAGUCGAGGAGAGGGUGAUGGAAUUGCUGGUGUAAGAGUGACAUCCGUAGAGAUCAGCAGGAACACCGGAGGCGAAGGCGAUCACCUGGCCGAAGACUGACGCUGAGGAACGAAAGCGUGGGGAGCAAACAGGAUUAGAUACCCUGGUAGUCCACGCCGUAAACGAUGAUAACUAGAUGUUGCGGGAAUUGACCCCUGCAGUAUCGCAGCUCACGCAUUAAGUUAUCCGCCUGGGGAGUACGGCCGCAAGGCUAAAACUCAAAGGAAUUGACGGGGGCCCGCACAAGCGGUGGAGUAUGUGGUUUAAUUCGAAGCAACGCGAAGAACCUUACCUGGGUUUGACAUCCUCUGAAUACGGUAGAGAUAUCGUCGGCUCGCAAGAGACAGAGAGACAGGUGCUGCAUGGCUG